rnacentral:lncRNA from 12 species
CAAGGGGGACUGAAAAUGAUAACAGGAAUAUGUUUUUCUGCAGACCUGGAGAGUUUGCAUUAACAAUUUAGAAUGCUGGCAAGGCUCUCUUUAAUGUUUUAUGCAUUCUGUUGGCCCACAGAUCACAGGCCUUCACCUUUCCCAUCAUGUUAGCCAUGUGGCCCUGCAGCAGGUCUGUCAUGCAGGAGUGAAGGUGAAGAAUGGGAGAGGACCCUGUGUGCCUGAAGGCCUGUCCCUGCAGAGACAAAAUGUGUAUGAAUGUGUGUUUGUCCCCUCCGUGGCGGGGGCUGAAGAGGUAUGUUUUGCUGGGGGAAGGAGCCUGCCUACAGACUGCACCAGAGUCAGGAGUGUUUCAUGAGAGCUCUAUGCAUGCUGCUCAUCUUUUGUUUCCCAAAGAAAUGGGAGAGGAAUG